rnacentral:rRNA from 1 species
GUACGGAAGGCAGCAGUGGGGAAUAUUGCGCAAUGGGGGAAACCCUGACGCAGCAACGCCGCGUGGAGGAAGAAGGUUUUCGGAUUGUAAACUCCUGUCUUCUGGGACGAUAAUGACGGUACCAGAGGAGGAAGCCACGGCUAACUACGUGCCAGCAGCCGCGGUAAUACGUAGGUGGCGAGCGUUGUCCGGAAUUACUGGGCGUAAAGGGCGCGUAGGCGGCUCUUUAAGUCAGAUGUGAAAACCCGAGGCUUAACUUCGGGAGUGCAUUUGAAACUGGGGAGCUUGAGUGCAGGAGAGGUAAGUGGAAUUCCUAGUGUAGCGGUGAAAUGCGUAGAUAUUAGGAGGAACACCAGUGGCGAAGGCGACUUACUGGACUGUAACUGACGCUGAGGCGCGAAAGCGUGGGGAGCAAACAGGAUUAGAAACCCUAGUAGUCCA